rnacentral:rRNA from 1 species
CCUACGGGAGGCAGCAGUGGGGAAUAUUGCACAAUGGGGGCAACCCUGAUGCAGCAACGCCGCGUGAAGGAAGACGGUUUUAUGAUUGUAAAACUCUGUUUUUAGUGAAGAAUAAUGACGUUCGCUAAUGAGCCUGCCACUGCCAACUACGUGCAAGACGCCUCGGUAAUACGUAGGUGGCAAGCGUUGUCCGGAAGUACUGGGUGUAAAGGGAGCGCAGGGGGGAAGCUAAGUUAGCGGUGAAAACUACGGGUUUAACUUGGAGACUGCAGCUGAUACUGGUGGUCUAGAGUGAAGUAGAGGUAGGCGGAAUGCAGGGUGUAGCGGUGAAAUGCGUAGAGAU